GGGGAACCAGGACUUUUACUUUGAAAAAAUUAGAGUGCUCCAGGCAGGCCUAUGCUCGAAUACAUUAGCAUGGAAUAAUAGAAUAGGACGUGUGGUUCUAUUUUGUUGGUUUCUAGGACCGCCGUAAUGAUUAAUAGGGACAGUCGGGGGCAUCAGUAUUCAAUUGUCAGAGGUGGAAUUCUUGGAUCUAUUGAAGACUAACUACUGCGAAAGCAUUUGCCAAGGAUGUUUUCAUUGAUAAGGAACGAAAGUUAGGGGAUCGAAGACGAUCAGAUACCGUCGUAGUCUUAACUAUAAACUAUGCCGACUAGGGAUCGGACGAUGUUAUCUUUUGACGCGUUCGGCACCUUUCGAGAAAUCAAAGUGCUUGGGCUCCAGGGGGAGUAUGGUCGCAAGGCUGAAACUUAAAGAAAUUGACGGAAGGGCACCACCAGGGGUGGAACCUGCGGCUUAAUUUGACUCAACACGGGGAAACUCACCAGGUCCAGACACAGUGAGGAUUGACAGAUUGAGAGCUCUUUCUUGAUUCUGUGGGUGGUGGUGCAUGGCCGUUCUUAGUUGGUGGAGUGAUUUGUCUGCUUAAUUGCGAUAACGAACGAGACCU
rnacentral:rRNA from 1 species